rnacentral:misc_RNA from 1 species
CAAGAGGAACGCAACACCUUCCCCUCACUUCUCGGUCGAGCUCGACGCCCCCGCAACGCUCUUCCCACAAAGAUGGCCAAGAAGCACCUCAAGCGCUUGUAUGCGCCCAAGGACUGGAUGCUGAGCAAGCUGACCGGCGUGUUCGCGCCGCGUCCGCGUCCGGGUCCGCACAAGCUGCGCGAGUGCCUGCCGCUGCUGGUGAUCAUCCGCAACCGGCUGAAGUACGCGCUGAACGCGCGCGAGGGUGAGAUGAUCCUGCGCCAGGGUCUGGUGCACGUGGACAACCACCCGCGCCGCGACGGCAAGUACCCCGCCGGUUUCAUGGACGUGGUCGAGAUCCCAAAGACGGGCGACCGCUUCCGCCUGAUGUACGACGUCAAGGGCCGCUUCGCGUUGGUGAGCCUGUCCGAGGCGGAGGCGCAGAUCAAGCUGAUGAAGGUGGUGAAUCUGUACACGGCCACCGGCCGCGUGCCGGUCGCCGUGACGCACGACGGCCACCGCAUCCGCUACCCGGACCCGCACACCUCCAUUGGUGACACCAUCGUGUACAACGUCAAGGAGAAGAAGUGCGUGGACCUGAUCAAGAACCGCCAGGGCAAGGCCGUGAUCGUGACCGGCGGCGCCAACCGCGGCCGCAUCGGCGAGAUCGUGAAGGUGGAGUGCCACCCCGGUGCGUUCAACAUUGCGCACCUGAAGGACGCGUCGGGCGCGGAGUUCGCCACCCGCGCCGCGAACAUCUUCGUGAUCGGCAAGGACCUGAACCACCUGCAGGUAACGGUGCCGAAGCAGCAGGGUCUGCGCAUGAAUGUGAUCCAGGAGCGCGAGGAGCGCCUGAUCGCGGCCGAGGCCCGCAAGAACGCGCCAGCUCGUGGUGCCCGCAAGGCCCGCAAGUGAGGAGGCGAUUACACGCGUGCGUGUGUGCGUGUGUGUGCGUGUGACGCCGUGCGCACAGCUUCACGGUCAUCGGUGCCCACAGAGCGUUAAUCGCCGCGGGUGUCACGCCCGCCGCCGCGGAAGACUGCGAGUGGAAAGGACAACGAGAAAGGAAAGGGAGUGCGUGCGCGUGUGUGGAUUACUGUGUACACGCGUGGAUGUGUCUUUGAAGGAUGGAGACAGAGCGAGGGUGAUAGUGUGGGAAGGGAGGGGGUUGGCGAAGCAGAGCGAGUGCGGAGGAGUGGUGGUAGCGCCGUCGUCAGGGGUUGCCGGUUGGAGAGGGAGGAGCUCGCUUCGUGUCUGGCGUGGGUGCAUCCAUUUGGACGACGAGGAAUGCUGCUGAUGAGUGACGAGAGAGGAAGAGGGAGGGGUACGUUGGUUUGUGUGCCUGCCCGUCUGCGCGCACGGCGAAGGGACGGGGGGGUUCGCUGGAGAUGGAAGGGACAGGGUCGAGCACCGAAGGUAGUGAUCAUAUUAUCGAAAAGGAGAAGAGGGGGGGGGGCGUAGGAUGUAGUCCGCGGCUGCAUUGGAAGAGGAGCACGCAAAUGCAAUACAUACGUAAGCCUGUAUGGUAAAGGAGGCACAUGUGUUGCAGUUUUCCUCUCUCCACAGGUGCACCUCGCUACCCCUCUCCCUCUUUUCGUUGUUUCGUCGGGCCUGUCUUCCUGCUCCUCCGUCCCUCUCCCUCGCAUGCGCGCUUGCACCGCGGCUGUUGCGCCCCACCCUCCCCCGCGCCUUCUGUGGUGCUGUCCAGCUUCAUUUUGCGCCGUCGCAGUUCUCUCGUCACGCUCGCCCUCCUCUUCUUCGCGCCCUCUCCGCUCGCGAGUGACGUUCUUUCAAGGUCAUGUACACGCCCCAUCCACCACUUACUGCACUGCACAUCACUGACCCCCCAAUACACACACACGCUCACCCGCCCUGCAGGCAGCUCGCUCUCUCGUGUCUCGAUCCAGUACGCGCGCGCCCUCUUUUGUUUUCUUGCUCGUUAGCCGACGGUUCGGCACGAGCGGCAUUCCCAAGGUCACUCCCCCUUCCCCCUCUUCUUCCUCUCCCUCACCGCUUGGGGGUGGGGUAGGAGGGAGGGGUCUGUGUGUGUGUGUGUGUGUCUGCGUCGUCCUCCUUCGUCUUUUCGUUCUUUUUUUUCUUUGCUCAUUUCACGCGACCAAGCCAACGACGCCAAACAAACAAACCUGCAACACAACACAACACAGCACCCACCACAGCAGCAGCAGCAGCGGCGAGACGAAUCCCUCUGUCUCUGUCGCUCCCUCUCCCACACGCGUAUAUGUAUAUACAUAUAUAUAUAUAGGGAUAGUUACUCACACCGAGGCCGCUGUUGCGCGACAACGACAGCUCAGGCGAGUGGAUGGUACCACUUCCGUGGAAAAAAAGACCGGAGUACGACGAGGGUCGAGAGUGAAGUAUUGGUAUGGGAGGCUGCG